rnacentral:rRNA from 1 species
UGAUGUUAGCGGCGGACGGGUGAGUAACACGUGGGUAACCUGCCUGUAAGACUGGGAUAACUCCGGGAAACCGGGGCUAAUACCGGAUGGUUGUUUGAACCGCAUGGUUCAAACAUAAAAGGUGGCUUCGGCUACCACUUACAGAUGGACCCGCGGCGCAUUAGCUAGUUGGUGAGGUAACGGCUCACCAAGGCAACGAUGCGUAGCCGACCUGAGAGGGUGAUCGGCCACACUGGGACUGAGACACGGCCCAGACUCCUACGGGAGGCAGCAGUAGGGAAUCUUCCGCAAUGGACGAAAGUCUGACGGAGCAACGCCGCGUGAGUGAUGAAGGUUUUCGGAUCGUAAAGCUCUGUUGUUAGGGAAGAACAAGUACCGUUCGAAUAGGGCGGUACCUUGACGGUACCUAACCAGAAAGCCACGGCUAACUACGUGCCAGCAGCCGCGGUAAUACGUAGGUGGCAAGCGUUGUCCGGAAUUAUUGGGCGUAAAGGGCUCGCAGGCGGUUUCUUAAGUCUGAUGUGAAAGCCCCCGGCUCAACCGGGGAGGGUCAUUGGAAACUGGGGAACUUGAGUGCAGAAGAGGAGAGUGGAAUUCCACGUGUAGCGGUGAAAUGCGUAGAGAUGUGGAGGAACACCAGUGGCGAAGGCGACUCUCUGGUCUGUAACUGACGCUGAGGAGCGAAAGCGUGGGGAGCGAACAGGAUUAGAUACCCUGGUAGUCCACGCCGUAAACGAUGAGUGCUAAGUGUUAGGGGGUUUCCGCCCCUUAGUGCUGCAGCUAACGCAUUAA